rnacentral:lncRNA from 1 species
CCCUAACCAUUUGCCUUAUAAGAUGCCCAGUAUAGAAAUCCCAGAGGACACUAUUUACAGUUUAACACUGUAAGCCCAAAUGUAGAAUGGAUUUUAAAUCAUAUUCUACAGAGCCCCAGAAUUUCAUAGAGGGGCUUCAGGGUGUGAAAGGGGUAUGUGGAGGGGGAGGGGGAGUCACCGACAACAACAAGCCGAGUCCCUACACACACAACACACUCACACUCACACUCACGCACUCACUCGCUCUCUCACUCACACACACACAACACAGGCGAGAACCACCUCCUCACUGCAGCACCGGAUCAACGGCGGCACGCACGCCCGGUCGGCCCCCGCCACGUGACAGAGCUCGUCACGCCUGGGCCGCCGCGACUUGUAGUUCUCGUCCCUUUGACUGACGGCCCAGCUGGCGCCAGAAAGACUACAAGUCCCGUUAGCUACUGCACCCAGUCGCCGCC